UUUCGCCGAGAAGCGCGGAGUAUCGGUCACUGGCCUUGGAAACUUUCCGGUUGGGUUUCUUGAUUCCCAGGUAGAUGGCUCGGUACUCCUCGUUGGUAAGAUCAGCAAAGCGGUUCAAACCAACCUUAAAACUCUGACUCUCAUCGGCGUUAUGUUCAUCGAUGAACCUAAGGUUAUCCUUAAAAAUCUGGAACCUCCUCUCUUUCUCACCCAAACCGUUGUAUGUUUUUCCAUGCUUUACAAGCCACUCCUCGUACAUGGCCAUAACUUCGUCG
rnacentral:lncRNA from 1 species